rnacentral:lncRNA from 1 species
UCCAUAUGUUGUUUAUAGUACCACGUCUAUAAUAUAUGAAAUAUGAUUAUUACAAUUAUAAAUAUUACAAUACUUUCCAUGUAAAGUAAAGUAGACCCAUAGACAUUGUUUUAUUGUUUUGGUUUUAUUGUUAUUUUAUUCAAUUUUUGUUAUUUUGUUUGUUUCAAUGCAGAUGGAAAAACACUUGGUGGAAGACACAUCCUCCAUGCAAGUGUUGACCGGACAUUUUUGAAAGUUUUCACCUCUGUUUUGCUUCCAGUUUUCUUUUUAACAUGCAUAACAUCACUGUUGCUCAAAGGUAAGUCUCACUAUUUUUGUUGUAGCCUUAAAAUGAGUCCAAAACAGUUUUGUUGCUAAAAUAGCAAUAAAACACAAUCGCUGUCUGUCAAGAAUACAAGAAGAAAGAGCAGGUCCCACGAGACCAAGACACAAAUUAUGUUGCUAGAAAUUGAUCAUUUUAAAUCCGGUUAUCAGGAGUUUAUGUGCUAAAAUUCCAAACUGUCCGAAGGCGAUGUCAGUGAACACGUGUUUGGACCCAGACGCCACCUCUAUGGGGGGUAUUUCCUGGUGCUGAACGAAGGCUCCACAUGGCGGUAUCCAGCUCUCUUAUUGGACGGCGACUUUUUCGCUCAUGCAAAACCCCCGCGACACUCCUCCUCCUUUUAAGAGAAUCGCAAAGAACCCUCGUCACGGUGCUUCCAGACAGACUGUUUCAUCUUAGGACAACAAGUGUUUAGCGACCUUCAUUUAGGAAGAUGAACAUUUGUCUUCUGUUUUGGAUCCUGCUCCCAGCAGCAGAAUGCGGUUCCCAUUCUCUUGAGUUCUUGUCUACAGGACGUGUUCAGCCUGGAUCUGGGCCCCAUUUUGAACAAGUUACAGAGUUUGAUGGAGUUGUGAUCUCUCACUGUGACAGUGGGACACAACAAGAACACUUCAAACCCGUCCUGGAAUCCCACAACUUACCUGGGACCUGCAGACCAGCAUGUUAUGAUGUUUUUGAUGCUCUCAAAGCGAUUUCUAAAUUCAUCAAUCACACACGGAAUGUUCAGCGGCGGCGUGGCUGCAUCACGUCAGACGAGAGGCUUGAAUCUGCUUUUGACAACUGGGCAGUGAAUGGAGAGGGUUUCAUUCAGUUUGAUGCUGGAGCUCAGAAAUGGAAAGUCCUGUCUCCUUCUGCAGAAAUGAUUAAAGAUUUGUGGAACAGCUAUGAGGCUCAGAACCAUGUGUUUGGACACUUCAUCAAUGAAGAAUGUCCAAAAAUGAUCCAUCAGAUCAAAUUAAGAGAAGCGGAAAAAAGAACAGAUCUCCGUGUGUUUGCCAACCCUGUUGAUUUAACCAGGGCAUUGCUGAAGUGCCACGUCACAAGUACUGACAAAUCAGUGCGUUCAGUGUCUCUGACUGAAGACGGGGCCACCAAGGCAAACUGGAUCACUGUAACUGGCCCGUUGCCUUCUGGGGAUGGAUCAGUGAUCCUCAUCCUGACAGCUGAGGUCCCCCUGAUCCACACCAACAUCUAUGGCUGUGUUGUCCAAACAGAAGACAGAACCAUCACUGUCAUGUGGGGUGAGAACUUUACAUUUACAUACUGCUGCAUGAUUGUUAUUGAGUCGUGAUCCAGGCUGCACACAGGCCAGUGGGAUCUUAUUGUUGCUGGGGGGGUUCUGGUGUGUUGGGUACUCUGGUAAAAGUCCCUCAUGAAGAAGCUCUGAAACGUUCCUGGUGAUUCUCUGGUCUUCCUCCGUCUGAAAGCAGACCUUUUGGAUCUUUUCUGGCUGAGAUUACAGCAGUGUUGGUCAUUAACUCUGUCAGAAACGGCUGUUUCGAUGCUGUUGAAACUUAUUUGAGACUUAUUUUUUUGUCUCUCCACAAGGUUUUUUUUGGCCCAUUUAAUUAACAGAACAUCCAGAAAGAAACGAGCUACUACAGAGUUACAAUUUGGUACAGGCAGUGGAAUGCACAGAAUCACCCUCUGCCAGCAGGGGGCGCUGCAGCAGCUCAGCACCCACCUUUCUAUCGUCUUGGCACAGAAUUAUCAGUGCGCAACGUUGAGCUUCAGUCUGUGUCCAGGCCUCAGACAACUGUCGGCAUUUCACGUUGGUCCAGACAGUUAAUAAAUGUAACAGUUGAAAUACUCUAAAUAGAGUCAGUCACACUUUCUGUUAUUCGGAGCACAGCUUUCAAAAUAUUAAAAAUAAGUUUAUUACAAUAACACAUAUGACGACAUGCUGCAUAGAGUAAAGUAUGGCCAGUUUGGUGAUUACAAUAAUCAUGUUUUUGUUGUUUAUACUCUUUUAUGAGCAGAUGGAAACACACUUGAUGGACGACACAUCCUUUACAUCCAGAUGACGUUUUGGAGAAUUAUCGGCAUCAUCUUUACAGUUUGUUGUUUAAUCUCCGUAAUGACUCUUUUGUGUAAGUCUCACUUCUUUGAUAGUAACUUUCAAGUCAGUCUGUGAGCUGAUAUUUUACUAUUGUGGCCCUGCAUUAAUAGAAUGUUAAUGAUGUUUCUUGUGAAAUACACCUGUCAGCAUCUAUUAAUUGUUUCCUUCAUUUUAUUUCUUCAUAGUCACAAGAGAGGAAAAAGUGGUGAAGGAAACUUAACUCAUGAGUCCAUUGAAGAAUAACUGGGGGAAGAUGGAUUUUAUCCACGGAGGACUUGAGGCAGAGACGACAUCAAUGAUCCAGGAUGUUUUACUCUUCAUGCUGAAAGUGCACGUCUAUAAAGUCACAUGUGCUGUAAUAUUUGGACUGUGUUGUCAUCCAGUAGCAGAGCUUUGGGACUUAUGCUACUGACACGGUCUAACCUUCACUGACUGUCAUCUUUUUUAAGAAGCCAAGAAGGCCAAACUAUGGAAAACUUUAGCAUUUUGACGCUAAAUUCAGUGUUAAUGAUCUUGAGCUUCUUAAUCAGAGCUUAACACUCAUCUUUCAAAACUGCCGUUAAACACCUCGUAAUGCUGUCACGUUUAUGUCUGGUUUCAUUUAUUUUUGUGUUAUUUACUCAUUCAUCUCUCCUCUAUUUUGUUUGCGUCAUUAUUUAUUUUAUGUAAAACACUGGUUAACGACUGGGCAUUAUAAAAAUCUUAUGUUGUUGAAUGUAUGAUGACUUUAUUUCUGUUUCUGAAAGACUCUGAGUUGUUCUUUUAAUAAUUUAACAAAUUCAUGUGAAAACUGGUCCACUUAUAUUCUAUUGAAAAUGAUAAAUUGUUUAACAGUGUUUGGGGAAAAUAAUUUGCAGAACUUGAUAUGUGAAAUCAUUAAUAAUGGAAAAAAAAAAAGAAACUCUUAAAUGUUUGUAAAUAUUGUAUGUUUUUACUUCCUGCAAUAAAUGAAUUUUAUUUUUGUUAAGAGCCUGUGUGAUAAUGUUCAUUUUCAUUACAUGAGGAAAUGUCUGAUUAGAUGAGGUGGUUA